GAGAGUAGAGGUACCUUUCUUGGCUGAUCCCUUUCGCUAUGUGGCGUGCUCGUUUGGGUUGGGCGUCGGCUAAGAGUACUCGGAGCGUGGAUUAACUUUAGUCUCCUAUCAGGUAAUCCCUAAGCUUAGAUGGUUUGGAGCUGCGAGGGACUCGGAGAUGGCCACACUACUGUUUCUGUUUCUUUUAAAUGCAAUAAGUAGCCGAUUUAUUUCUUUAUAAGUUUUAUCUUAUUAAUAUUAUUGUUUGGUUUUGGGA